GACGAACGCUGGCGGCGUGCUUAACACAUGCAAGUCGAACGGAAAGGCCCUGCUUUUGUGGGGUGCUCGAGUGGCGAACGGGUGAGUAACACGUGAGUAACCUGCCCUUGACUUUGGGAUAACUUCAGGAAACUGGGGCUAAUACCGGAUAGGAGCUCCUGCUGCAUGGUGGAGGUUGGAAAGUUUCGGCGGUUGGGGAUGGACUCGCGGCUUAUCAGCUUGUUGGUGGGGUAGUGGCUUACCAAGGCUUUGACGGGUAGCCGGCCUGAGAGGGUGACCGGCCACAUUGGGACUGAGAUACGGCCCAGACUCCUACGGGAGGCAGCAGUGGGGAAUAUUGCACAAUGGGCGGAAGCCUGAUGCAGCAACGCCGCGUGCGGGAUGACGGCCUUCGGGUUGUAAACCGCUUUCGCCUGUGACGAAGCGUGAGUGACGGUAAUGGGUAAAGAAGCACCGGCCAACUACGUG
rnacentral:rRNA from 1 species